UACAGAGGGUGCUAGCGUUGUUCGGAAUCAUUGGGCGUAAAGGGCGUGUAGGCGGUUUGUUAAGUCAUGUGUGAAAUCCCUCGGCUCAACCGGGGAACGGCGCAUGAAACUGGCAAGCUAGAGUACCAAAGAGGGGGGUGGAAUUCCCGGUGUAGCGGUGAAAUGCGUAGAGAUCAGGAAGAACACCGGUGGCGAAGGCAGCUCGCUGGGACGGUACUGACGCUGAGGCGCGAAAGCGUGGGGAGCGAACAGG
rnacentral:rRNA from 1 species